UAGGGAAUCUUCGGUAAUGGACGAAAGUCUGACCGAGCAACGCCGCGUGAGUGAAGAAGGUUUUCGGAUCGUAAAACUCUGUUGGUAGAGAAGAACGUUGGUGAGAGUGGAAAGCUCAUCAAGUGACGGUAACUACCCAGAAAGGGACGGCUAACUACGUGCUAG
rnacentral:rRNA from 1 species